AUGGGCCCGGGGCGCAUCUGCAGGGCACUGCCAGAAGAAGUGAGCACCGGGAAGCAACAACGUCGCAGCCAUGCCGAAAUGCCUCCCCACGAACCCAGCAGCCUCCGCCCACACGGGCGCCUUGAAGAAGACCUCUCGGAAGACGCAGAGCUCCAUGAGCGGCCUGUCCUCACCGAAGAUGAACUGGAUGGCGUCGAGACGGGCCGAGAUCCGAGCCUCCCGGCUAUGGCAGCAGCGCAUGGCUCGUCGGCGUUGGGAAGGCAUCCAGGCGGCGGAGCUCCACAGGAAGACACAUGGGAGGGGCGGAUCUAG
rnacentral:rRNA from 1 species